rnacentral:miRNA from 1 species
UGAGAUGAGAGCCCUUGGCCACU